GGAGGGCGCAAGCGUUGUUCGGAAUCAUUGGGCGUAAAGCGCGUGCAGGCGGCUUGGUAAGUCGGGUGCGAAAUCCCGGGGCUCAACCCCGGAACUGCACCCGAUACUGCCUCGCUCGAGUCCCGGAGAGGAUGGCGGAAUUUCCGGUGUAGAGGUGAAAUUCGUAGAUAUCGGAAGGAACACCAGCGGCGAAGGCGGCCAUCUGGACGGUGACUGACGCUCAGACGCGAAAGCGUGGAGCAAACAGGAUUAGAUACCCUGGUAGUCCACGCUGUAAACGUUGGGUGCUAGGCGUCGUGGGUAUUGACCCCCGCGGUGCCGAAGCUAACGCAUUAAGCACCCCGCCUGGGGAGUACGGUCGCAAGACUA
rnacentral:rRNA from 1 species